rnacentral:rRNA from 1 species
UACGGGGGGGGCAAGCGUUGUUCGGAAUUACUGGGCGUAAAGGGCGCGUAGGCGGCCUUCUAAGUCAGACGUGAAAUCCCCGGGCUCAACCCGGGAACUGCGUCCGAUACUGGAAGGCUUGAAUCCGGGAGAGGGAUGUGGAAUUCCAGGUGUAGCGGUGAAAUGCGUAGAUAUCUGGAGGAACACCGGUGGCGAAGGCGACAUCCUGGACCGGUAUUGACGCUGAGGCGCGAAAGCUAGGGUAGCAAACGGG